GGGGGCGUAGUUCAGUUGGUUUAGAACGUAAGCCUGUCACGCUUAAGGCCGCGAGUUCGAGUCUCGUCGCUCCCG
rnacentral:tRNA from 5 species